UACAGAGGUCUCAAGCGUUGUUCGGAUUCAUUGGGCGUAAAGGGUGUGUAGGUGGCGCCGUAAGUCGGGUGUGAAAUCUCCGGGCUUAACCCGGAAAGGUCAGCCGAUACUGCGGGGCUAGAGUGCAGAAGGGGCAACUGGAAUUCUCGGUGUAGCGGUGAAAUGCGUAGAUAUCGAGAGGAACACCUGCGGCGAAGGCGGGUUGCUGGGCUGACACUGACGCUGAUGCGCGAAAGCUAGGGGAGCGAACGGG
rnacentral:rRNA from 1 species